AUUGAACGCUGGCGGCAGGCCUAACACAUGCAAGUCGAGCGGAUGAAGAGAGCUUGCUCUCUGAUUCAGCGGCGGACGGGUGAGUAAUGCCUAGGAAUCUGCCUGGUAGUGGGGGACAACGUUUCGAAAGGAACGCUAAUACCGCAUACGUCCUACGGGAGAAAGCGGGGGAUCUUCGGACCUUACGCUAUCAGAUGAGCCUAGGUACGAUUAGCUAGUUGGUGAGGUAAAGGCUCACCAAGGCGACGAUCGUUAACUGGUCUGAGAGGAUGAUCAGUCACAAUGGAACGGCGACACGGUGCAGACUCCAACGGGAGGCAGCAGUGGGAGAUAUUGGACGAUGGGCGAAAGCCUGAUCCAGCCAUGCCGCGUGUGUGAAGAAGGUCUUCGGAUUGUAAAGCACUUUAAGUUGGGAGGAAGGGCAGUAAGUUAAUACCUUGCUGUUUUGACGUUACCGACAGAAUAAGCACCGGCUAACUUCGUGCCAGCCGCCGCCGUAACAC
rnacentral:rRNA from 1 species